rnacentral:lncRNA from 1 species
GCCGCAGACAGUGCCCGUGCCGGGGCGGGGAGGCGAGUUCUCCCUGCGGCCGCGGACCCUGGAUGGUGGCGUCGCCCGAAGACGCGCCUCACCGGCCUGGGUGGGGUUGCCUUUUGCCCUCGAGGCUGGCCUAAGCGCUGGGGGGCCGCUGGCUAACCCUGAGGUAGAUACUCGGGAAAUGGGUGGAAUAGGGAAAGGGACUCAGCCCUUCCGCCCUUUUCCCCAGUCGAGGCCCGCGUCACUGCCCUGUGGGUGCAGACGCCUCCAGUGUCACUCCCCUGGAUUUCGCUUGGGCAGAAGAAGAGAUUGUAGGCCGGACCCCAACGCCGAAGCCCUGAGGCUUCUAAUGUGAGGAAAAACACGGAAUGACAAGUGUGGGAAAGAGCAAGCACUAAAUUACUGUCAGAAAAAUAAACGGAGUAGCACAGUGCUGCUCGGUGAUUUACGGGGGCAAUUAGUCACCACCCCACGGCGCUGCUGAGGACAGCACGGCAGCAGACAAGUCAGGCCCAUGAGGAAGAAGAGGCUUUGCACUGCUCUCCAGACAACUUUUCAAACAACAAGAGAGGAUAUUUGAGCACAUUAGGUUUUGUGUCUUCAUUCUGGAGGCAGGCAAAUGAGGCCCACUGGAAGGAUGCACGAUGACUGCAAGGAUCCUG